rnacentral:rRNA from 1 species
CCUACGGGGGGCAGCAGUGGGGAAUAUUGGGCAAUGGGCGCAAGCCUGACCCAGCAACGCCGCGUGAAGGAAGAAGGCCCUCGGGUUGUAAACUUCUUUUGUCAGGGACGAAGCAAGUGACGGUACCUGACUAAGAAGCCCCGGCUAACUACGUGCCAGCAGCCGCGGUAAUACGUAGGGGGCGAGCGUUAUCCGGAUUUACUGGGUGUAAAGGGAGCGUAGACGGUUCUGCAAGUCUGAAGUGAAAGCCCGUGGCUUAACCGCGGAACGGCUUUGGAAACUGUGGAACUGGAGUGCUGGUGAGG